UACGGAGGGUGCAAGCGUUAUCCGGAUUCACUGGGUUUAAAGGGUGCGUAGGUGGCAUGGUAAGUCGGAUGUGAAAUCCCGGGGCUCAACCCCGGAACUGCAUUCGAUACUGCUGCGCUAGAGUACUGGAGAGGAGAUUGGAAUUUACGGUGUAGCAGUGAAAUGCGUAGAUAUCGUAAGGAAGACCAGUGGCGAAGGCGGAUCUCUGGACAGUUACUGACACUGAGGCACGAAGCCAGGGGAGCGAAAACGGG
rnacentral:rRNA from 1 species